GGGCGGUUAGCUCAGUUGGCUAGAGCGUCUGGUCGACAUCCAGAAGGUCGUUGGUUCAAGUCCAAUACCGCCCA
rnacentral:tRNA from 1 species